GGGCAGCGUAAACAAAAGCAUUUAACUCAGUGGCAGAGAAUUGAGUAGUUAUACAAUAUGGGGGCACGAUGGGUACACCUAAACCAGUCCAGUAAGCCAUGGUUAUCUUGUUGCUCAUAGUGUCUCUAUAAGAUGCUGGGGGGACAGUGCACUCCUGACACCAUAAUCACAACAGUGAGCUCUAGUGGUUAGGAUCCUUGAAUUGUUCCUUUAAAUACAUUUUAUAGAGAAGCACUGCGCUGUAGGUCUCCAGUGGUUU